CAUUCCUCACCAAUCUCUACCGUGCGUGAGCCGCCGUGGCCGGCGACUCCGACGACGGCGCCGCGGAUCCAGAGGUGUACCUUUCCCAACUCCUCCGCCUCCUUGUCCCCUUCCCUCCCCCUUUCUCCUCCUCGGCUCAUACCUGCCUUCUCGCUAGGGUUGGAGUGGCGUGGCGGCUCCUCCAGUGACCAGGUGCGCCACUCCGCGGCGAUGGCUGGGCGAGCAGCGCGUCCUUUGCUGAGUCUCCGUCGGGGCGCGUCGCCCGUGACGAGCAUCGAACUGUUUGGAGUGUACUUUGUCAGCUAUGAAGGUUUGGUGAAUUGUUCAAGGUUGUAUUUUGUCACCUACGAAGGUUUGAAUCAGAGCAUGAUAUAAGCAAUGUCGAAUGCAGGCCAGAGACAACUUAAGAGGAGUUGAAACAACUGAGGACGUGACCAUUGGGUCUAAAUCCGAGUACGUUAAUGAACCCAAACCUGUUGAACCCAUGGAGCACCAAGGAGAGACGGGCCUGGUUUAUGGUUAUUGCUACACUGCUCACCCUUCGGUGGAUUGGGAGCGAUGGGUUUAGCCUAUGAGCGGUGGUGUAACUCGUGGGUUGUGGCAUUGGCCCCAAGGGCGUGUAUCUUCCAACUAUCGUAUUGUAGUUUCUGCUGUUGAACUCUGAUGUGAACCAAGUGCAAUGAACAACUUGUGUUGUAACUUGAACCACUCUUUUGUGUAAGUGAACCUUGUGAGCUAUGUAUGCAUCAUCACCAUAUGUACCCAGGUGACUGGGUGCAUAGUGGAUUAAUUGAGUUAAAAUGGUGGAACUAUGGUUAAUGGUGACA